rnacentral:rRNA from 1 species
UACAGAGGUCUCAAGCGUUGUUCGGAUUCAUUGGGCGUAAAGGGUGUGUAGGUGGCGCGCUAAGUCGGGUGUGAAAUUUCGGAGCUUAACUCCGAAACUGCAUUCGAUACUGGCGUGCUUGAGGACUGGAGAGGAGACUGGAAUUCAUGGUGUAGCAGUGAAAUGCGUAGAGAUCAUGAGGAAGACCAGUGGCGAAGGCGGGUCUCUGGACAGUUCCUGACAUGAGACGAAGGCCAGGGGAGCAAACGGG